UACGGAGGAUCCAAGCGUUAUCCGGAUUUAUUGGGGUUAAAGGGUGCGUAGGCGGCCUGUUAAGUCAGGGGUGAAAGACGGUAGCUCAACUAUCGCAGUGCCCUUGAUACUGAUGGGCUUGAAUGGACUAGAGGUAGGCGGAAUGAGACAAGUAGCGGUGAAAUGCAUAGAUAUGUCUCAGAACACCGAUUGCGAAGGCAGCUUACUAUGGUCUUAUUGACGCUGAGGCACGAAAGCGUGGGGAUCAAACAGG
rnacentral:rRNA from 1 species